rnacentral:rRNA from 1 species
UACGUAGGGAGCGAGCGUUAUCCGGAUUCAUUGGGCGUAAAGCGCGCGUAGGCGGCGCGUCAAGCGGAACCUCUAACCCGAGGGCUCAACCCCCGGCCGGGUUCCGAACUGGCGCGCUCGAGUGCGGUAGAGGAAGGCGGAAUUCCCGGUGUAGCGGUGAAAUGCGCAGAUAUCGGGAAGAACACCGAUGGCGAAGGCAGCCUUCUGGGCCGCCACUGACGCUGAGGCGCGAAAGCUGGGGGAGCGAACAGG